GUCGCUCAAUGGGAUGAACGCGUGGCCCUCCUCAGGCGACGGUCACACGUUCGAAUCGUGUCGGGU
rnacentral:tRNA from 1 species